UAGUUAAAUUGCAUAUGUUACAGGUUCAAAGAACCACCUUUAUUAUAACUAUAAAUAUGUCCUUUUCGCUUCUAAUUUUCGCAUACCGUUGAGCGGUUUCUUCAACGAAAAGGUAAUAAAAUGCUGUGUUUCAAAGCUGCUGCUUUUGUUAUUUUCUUAUCAUCGUUCCCAUUAGUGGAGCCAUCAGGUAACUAUAUUGCAUUUAAUGCAUACAUAACCAGAUCGCUACACCUGCAGAUAGGUUCUAACGUCAACGUUGUUUACGGCGGUGUGCGUUACAACCAUGGAAAAGCGUACAAUAGGCAUACUGGUGUGUUCACAGCUCCAUCUAACGGGCUUUACGUAUUUUCUUGGGCAAGUGUCGUGGCACCUCAAAAGAUGUUUAACUCGGUAAUCCUUCUCAAUGGACGAAGAAAAGGACU